GCGCCCCCCGGGAUCUCCGCCUCGGAGCGGGUCUGGGAGUGCGCUGCUGGGCCGGGGUCAGGCGGCGGAAAGGGGGCUCCUGCCUCCGUCCUGCAGCCGCGGUCACCCGGCACUGAGCUGUGGAAAGCGGGAUCGUCGUCGGGGCUGCGAGGAAAGCGCAGCGUAUUAGGAAAAUGACUGUGGUAGUCAGCGAUAGGGCAAGGAGGAGGUGGCUUUAAACUAAAAGAGAGGAGGUUUAGAUUAGAUGUUAGAGGGAAAGUCUUUGCUCACAGGGCGGUGAGGCACUGGCACUGCUGCCCCAGUGGGAAGCUGCGGUGCCCCAUCCCUGGAGGCACUCGAGGCCGGGUUGGAUGGGCCCUGGGCAGCCUGGGCUGGUGGGGGGCAGCCCUGCCCGUGGCAGGGGGUUGGAACUGCGAGAUCCUUAACGUCCCCUCCAGCCCAAACCAUCCUGUGAUUCUAUGAAAACCUGCUCAGCAGCUCAGAGCAGUGUUUUUAAGCUGUUGCCUUGAUCUGUGCUGGCCAGGACAGGCUGUCCCUACGGCCUUUUCAGCUAUGAAAGGGUACAGUCCCAGUUCUGCAAGGCUCUGGUUUUUGGCUUAACUGCUUGGGUGCUCAGUGAGGAUUGGUGCGCAGAGGAUUCCUACUCUGUGCUUUGUGGUUGUGCUGCACGCCGUGGCUCUGUCCGUGCUCCUUGCAGCCUGUGCUGUGCUGUGCUGUGCUGUCGCCUCCCAGUCCUCCCUUCCCAUUUCCCUCCAUUAUCCCUCUGCUUUCCUUCUGCGCUUCUCCGGGUAAUUCUCCUUAAAACCUGCCUACUUCCAGAUGGUUUUGUUUUUGCAGACACGAUGCCCGAAGCUCAUGAGUGGAGAACAGCAAGGAUUUUUUUUUUUUUUUUUUUUUUUCCAUGAACACUGAUCCCAAAAUACAGCAAGGAGGACAUGCGGGGAGUUCUGAAAUGUCUGUUUCUCCCAGUGGAGCGCACUCAGGAAACAAACCAGAAGUGCAAUUAGGAUAUGGAAGGCCUUGGCUGCAAAAGUUCAAGGGAAGAAAACUUGGAGUACUCGGUUGGCAUGGUGAUGAGAAGGGCGGUCAGGUGAUCUCGUCCCUAUUUUUCUCAUCUGCUGACUGAUUUAACAAACGUGGGCCCAUCUGGUGGUUAUUAAGUGAUUGCCUCUCAAGGUCUCACCUUGACAGAUAAUCUAGUUGGAGAAGGGAGCGGGUUCUUCCUUCCCAUUUUGCAUCUGCUGCCCUUGGAACAGAUGCCUCGAAGAUCAACCUGUGAUUUAUAGCACCAGAGUUGGGUGUGGGAUCUCCCUGAUAACUCACAGAGGUUCUUGGUCCUGAAGAAUCUGAUACUGACCACCGCACAGGGAGGAAACAGGAUGAGCUGAAGCGCAUGCCAAGUCUAAUAGAGCUAUAUUUAUGUUCUGAAAAACUCCUGACUAUAAGUGGAAGCACCUCCUGGCAACAAAACCUGGUGCAGGCAGUGAGUACACAUUCCUCUGUAAACUAAAGUGACCUAUUGCUUCAUUUUUGACAGCCAGGGGCCUCAUUUGGGAUGCAGCUGUUAUUGUAUGGAAACAGACACCCUCUUGCUGUGUCAGACCAUCCUUAAACAGACAAGGAGUCCCUGUUUUCAACACAUGGCGUGCUUCUGGUUCCAUCUCUGAGUGCACUUUGGUGUUUCUAUCCAUGCCAAUGGCAGCUCAAUUAGAAGUGUUCUAUGCAUACAGAGCCCUGCAGAGGAUUCAAAAAUCAGUUAGUCCUCAGAGCAUUUCUAGAUGUGUUGCUUUCUGUGCAGACAGUGCUGUGGUACUUCUGGUUCGCUGCUGAAGUGAGGGCCAUUUUCCAGUCCUAUUUAACAUAGUAGUUAAUGAUCAGGGUGAUAUGGCAGAAGAUACCCUUGGCCUGUUUACAGAUGACACAAAACUGGGACGAACAGCUGAUAGGCCAAAGGCCGUGCAGCUAUCCCGAGGGUCCUCAGCUGUCUGCAGAAGUGGGCUGACAGGAACCUUGAGAAGUUCAUCCAGGAGAAGUGUGGAGUCCUGCACCUGGCACCAGGAUAUGCUAGGGGAAUCCAGCUCAAGAACAGGGCCAAGGGUCCUAGUGGACAUCAAGUUUGAGUUAAAGUAUGUUCUUGCUGCUAAGGAGCAUUAUGGUUUAUUGGGCUGCAUUUGGCAAAGAAUUGGCAGUGAGUUGAGGGAGAUGCUCCUUCCACUCUGAGCAGCGUGGGUGAGGUCAAACCUGGAGUGCUGUGUCCAGUUUUGGGCUCCCAGUACAAGAGACAGUUGGACACUCUGGAGAGAGUCCAGUGGAGAGGCAGCGAGAUGAUGAAGGGACUGGAGCAUCUCUUCUGUGAGGAGGGGCUAAAAGAGCUGGGACUGCUUAACUUAAAGAAAAUUAGGCUCUGGGGAACCUUAUCAAUGUCCGUAAAUGCCUGAGGGGAGGGUGCAGAGAGGUUGGAGCCAGGCUUUGUUCAGUGGUACCCAGUGCCAGGACAAGAGGGGAAGGGCACAAACUGGAACACAGGAAGCUCCCCCUGAACAUCAGGCAGCUCUUCUAUGCUGUGUGGGUGACUGAAUCCUGGCACAGGCUGCCCAGAGGCUGUGGGGUCUUCUGUGGGGAGAUCUUCAGAAGCUGUCUGGACAGGGCACCCUGUUCUGGGUGUCCCUGCUUGGGCAGGGGUUGGGCUAGAGGGACACAGAGGCCCCCACCAGCCUCAGCCACUGAUUCCACCUUCCUUCCAGCACUGGCAUUGCACAGCCUCGAUAGCAGCACGUGUUGGUGUGUCCCAGAUCUUCUAUGGAGUCUCUUCAGUGCGCUCCUACACACCUGUGAACCUCAGUGAACCUGACUGCAGCUCCUUCCUGCACUUGCCUGUCCUUCCCAAGCUUCGUGUGGGUUCACUGAGUGGUCUUCUCAGUGAGGGAACAUGCCACCCAAAGGGCUCCGUUCUGCAUCCAGGAUUUUGUGCCUUCACUCAAGAAUGAACUUACUCCUCUGGGAAUACUUCCACUUUUUGAUACCCGAAAAGAGGUUGUACAUUUCUCUUCAAGUUGACCCACAAAGAAAGAAAAGAUGCAAAACCUGUCUCCCUUGGAUGUCAAUGGAAGUGUGGGGGAAGAUUCCUGUUCGUAAUGGAAAGGCUGCAAAUGAGCACAAAAUGUCAAAAUGUUCUGGCUAAAAGCAGCAGCCUCGGCCUUGUGUUUAGAAUUUGGUGGCAUGCACUCCAGGAGGGUUCAUUGCAAUUCUCUUAAGACAACGUGGUUCUCAGUUUUAGUCUUUCAUUAGAAAUUUUAACACUGGAUUAUGUGGUGGUUGGCCAAAUGGGUUGGUCACUCUAAUCAGCAUUGAACUAUCAUUUCCAAACAGUAAAAAAAAGUAGAGGAAAAGAAGUAAUAUCAAGGGAACUUUAUUUCAAAACAUGAGCAUUACACAGUAAACACAGUGCAAAUUGUGACUGCCAUGGCCUCACUAAAUGAGUUCUGAAGUCCUAACAGUUCUUGUUGCGCAUCAACAUCCUUAUCCCCAUCUGCAAAAUAGCAGUAAUAUUUCCUUACUUCAGAGAAGUGCUAUAAAGAUUAUUUAGUAACGUGUUUGUCCAGGGCUCAGAAAAUUCUAAGCAUUAGGCAUCAUAAAUUAUGUGCUAAUUUCUCCAAAGAUGCAGUAAAGCCUGAGUAAGUGCAUUGUAGGAAAUUCUCAUUGCAUGCUGUUGUAGUUGACUUUGUAUAAGGGUAUUUACAUAAUAGCAUUACAUAAUAAAAAUCACCAAAACUA